rnacentral:ncRNA from 1 species
GGACCCGGGAGAGACUGCCGCUUGGCGGCGCCGAAGGGGAAUGCAAUAACUCUCAGGCAAAAGGAUCGGGU